rnacentral:lncRNA from 1 species
GUGCGUCCAUCCAUUUGUCUGGUCUUGUUUGGCUGUGUUCUGGUAUGAUUAUCGGUACUAUAACUGGACAUUUAGAUGCAAUGACUAAUUGUAUGCCAGGGUUAAAAGCUUUCAUUACAGAGUUCAAAUAACUUAAUCCUUUUAAGUACAAUGCUACUGUUACCAAACACUUUAAAAUUAUUUUCAUAUUUGUUUUAUUACAGUUUACUUGCCCAGAGCAGCCUGGUUAUGUGGGAUUUGCCAAUCUUCCCAACCAAGUUCAUCGUAAAUCUGUAAAGAAAGGCUUUGAGUUCACUCUUAUGGUAGUUGGUAAGUAUGGAAACUUAGUGAAUGAAAAUUUUAUAGAUAGAUAUAAGAAGAUGUGGUAUGAGUGCCAAUGAAACUGAAUGAGUGAACUCUCCAUCCAAGUCACAAUGCAAUAAGUAAAAAACAUGUUUUGGACAUUCAUAAAGUCACAAUAUGUGAAUGUUUCUGCUAUCUUUUAAUUCUUUAUUUGAGAUAAGAAACCGAAGAUUUAAUGAUAAAAAAGGAAAAUUUUAGGGAUUAGAGCACAGCAAUAUGAAUGAGUAUACUCCAAUGAGACUUCAACCCAAAGACAUAUAUUUACCAAAAGACUUAAAAAGAAUUCAAAAUCCAGUCUUCAGCAAUACUAGUGGUUUUAUAAAUUGAAAUGGACAUCUGUUUAUUAUGUAUGCAUUUCUGUCAAAAUUUUCCUCUUCUAGAAGAGAUUCUUUCUUAUUUCUGGCAACAGGCUGUACUGUUCUUUUAUUAUCCCUGAUGUGUAUGAACUUUGCUUGCUUAACAAUAUUCGGUCAAAUCAUUAGUUAUAUAAACUAGAUCUUAUGUAUAUAAAUCAUGGAGGAGUAAAAAACUAAUUUGUUUAUAUAGUAAAGUGUAAUUUAUUUGUAUUAGAGGUGUUUUACAAGCGAACAGGUGACAUGAAAUCUUUGAGCAUGGAAGGUUUGAAACAGAAUAUAUAAUUAUUUAACAUGUUGACUAAUGAUUAUAUUAUACAAACAAGAUUUAUUUCCUCUUUGUUUGUUUGGGAUAAACAUGCCCAUGUCACUAACCAAGUUUGUUUGCUACGGUCAAAGUUAAAUUACAUACAUUUAGGUUAGUAGCUUUGUUUUUGAAGUGGUACAUUGGUCCAUUGGUACAUUUGUAAACAGUAGUUUUGUCCUGCAGAUAAGUCUGUUUACAUUUAAUGUUGUUACAAUGUAAGACAUGGACUCAUAUUAAAAUGAGGACGUGUUAUGAUUAUCACUGAGACGACUAUCCACCAGAGUACAAAUGAAGUGGUAGCAAGCAAUUAUAUGCCACUGUAUGGCCUUCAAUGAGAAUACACAAGUUCUGUAUGAAAGGCACCCACAUGUCAAAAGUGAGGCAAUUCAAAUGAGAAAACUAGUGGCAUAAUUUAUAUACAAAAUCAAAUAUAUUACAGAUAUUGGAAUCUGUACAUCUAUAUAUAUAAAAGGAAGAUGUGGUAUGAUUCCCGAAGAGACAACUCCCCAAAAGAGACCAAAUGACAUAGAAGUUAACAACUACAGGUCAUUGUGCAACCUUCAAAAAUGAGCAAAGCUUAUACCUCAUAGUCUGCUAUAUAUUAGUGAGUGUGUGUCAGUGACUUUUCUUACCUGUCAGAUACCCACUUACUGUUCCCUCACCCCAUUACCUCUGAUUUGUAAGCUGGAUUAGCAGGUCAAGUGCUGUUUGCAACAUCUUUUCUAUUGAAAUUUAUUAACUUUAGUUUGACCGUUUAUUUAUUUGAAAUUUCUAAAAUGAAAUAUGUUUUAAUCUUUUUCAGGUGAAUCAGGCCUUGGAAAAUCAACACUAGUCAAUAGUUUAUUUCUUACAGAUUUAUAUCCUGAAAGACAGAUACAUUCUGCAGCAGGUAUAGAAUUACUAUACAUGUCAGUGCAAAAUAUUGUACAGAUGCACAUUUUCAAAAUUUAUAGAAUGUCUUGUCUUACAUUUUGUAAGUUGUGAGGAGUAUGAUAUAAAACAUUUUUUAAGUUUAAAGUUGUAUUAAAUAGUAAAAAUAUAAAGGAAAACACAUCAUGAGUUAUAGCAAAAAGAAUCUAAGUUCUCAUUUGAUUAAAAAAUCUGAAAUUUCAGUUGAAAAACAACCAAAAAACAAUUGAUUCGAAGAUUUAUGGGAGAACAGCUCUAGAUACACUAUUUUACUGGCUUCAGGCUGCACCUGACAACAAAUUUAUACAUCAAGCAAUAAAGCUUUGUUAAACUCAAAAACACACUUUUUGCUAUGAUUAAAAUCAUAGUAAAACAUAUUUUUGGAUGCAUUCCAGUAGUAAUUAGGGAAAUAAAUAACAAUUUUGUCAAAAUAAGAAUAAAGGUUACCAUGACAAUAUAAUAACAACAAAGAAUUUGAUGUAUGGCCCAGACAGAGAAUUGAAAUUAUUUUCCAUAAUAAUAUUUAGAAUAGCUUGGCCUGAUGUUUAUAUUUCUGUCCACUUUAUAAUGGUCAGCUGGUUAAUACAUCAAACAGAUUGAUUAGAUUGUUACUUUUUAUAAACAAAUAGUAUAUUAUUAGUAAUAAAAAUAAUCCAUAUGUUUGUACUAAGUUGACUGAUGAAUAAGAAUGAAGACAAUGUAUUCUUAUUAUAAAAUGGCACAUAGUUUGAAUUAAGAAUGAAAAAAGGUACAAAAUACAUGUACCAUAUAUUUUCUAUUUAAAAUUAACUUAGAAAUGCCUCCAAAGUUGAAAUCACAUUAAAAAGUCAAUAUAAUUAAAUACCCUGUAUAUUACAAGAUCAGUUAUCAUGAAGGCAAUCGAUAGUUAUAGUUAUAUUUCUUGCUUCAGAUAGAAAAAGAAAGAAUGAUGUAUUAUUAUGUACAAUUUAUCUAGUUAUGAUUUAUUUUAAAAAUUGUACAAUUUCAUUUAAAUCUGAUUAAAAACUGUGUCAAAAUGUUAGCUGUUAAAAUAAAAAAAUGCCCAGCUUGAAUUUAUGAAAAUCUAAUGUACAUUCACCUGAAGCAUUUUGGUUCAUCUAUCUUAGGCAAUAUUAAUUUCAAUUCAUAUCAGCUCUAGAUAAAAAUAUACACAUUGAACAUAUAUAAGUUAUAAGAAAAUGGUUUAUAACAUAUAAAAAAGAAGAUGGGGUAUGAUUGCCAAUGAGAUGCCAAUGAGACAACUCUCCACAAAUGACUAAAUGACACUCAAAUUAACUAUAGGUCAUCAUAUGGCCGUCAACAAUGAGCAAAGCCUAUACUGCAUAGUCAGCUAUAACAGGCCCUGAAAUGACAAAUGUAAAACAAUUCAAAUGAGAAAACUAAUGGCCUAAUUUAUGUAAAAAAAAUGAAUGAAAAAACAAAUAUAUAACACAUCGACAAACGACAACCACUGAAUUACAGGCUCCUGACUUUGGACAAGUACGGUACAUACAUUGAGAAAAUGGUGGGGUUAAACAUGUUAGGGGGAUCCUAACCUGGGAUAGUAGUGUAACAGUACAACAUAAGAACGACCUAUAAAAUCAGUUGAAAAAGGCGCAACUCAUCAGAUGGAUACAAAUAGAAAUACAUCGAACUAAAACACAGAGCGGACAUGGCCAGGUAUGGUUCUACACAUCUUUGACAUGACUGUAAACGACUUAUUUACAGGACAGUCACCGUUGUGUUUAUCUAUGUAUUUAGAAAACUAUUAGAAAAGCAUUAAAAAUACAUGUACAUAAAAAGUAACAAUUUGACAUUUGUUUAUUUAUAGAAAAAAUCAAGCAGACAGUAAAGAUAGAUGCAUCUACAGUAGAAAUAGAGGAACGAGGUGUGAAACUGAGGCUGACAGUUGUAGAUACACCAGGCUUUGGAGACUCAUUAAAUUCUGUAGACUGGUAGGAAACAUAUCUUAUUUGCUAUAAAUAUUGAAGUAAAAAGUUUUUAUCCAGAGUCAAGUUUGAAUAGAGAGCAUACUGAAUUUUGUCUUAUUUUUGAAUGAAUUGUAAAUGAGAUGUUCAUAAAUAAUGAUAACCGUAUCUCAUCCAAGUAGAUUUUUUUGGGGGCUAUUCUGGAACUAAUUGUAUGGGGUUUAGUAGGCAAUCCAUAUUAAUAGUAUAAAGGUGAAGGAGUUUGAAACAACUUUUCCCACAUACAUACUAAAUUCCUUAACAUUUCUUACUAAAUAUCUACCAUAUAGGUCAUAAAAAGGUCAAGUUAUGAAAAAAGCCGAUAGCUGAAAUGUAUUGGUGAGGGUUUAAAAAAAUCCACAGGCAAUUACAAAAUCAACCUUCCGAAUGCAGCUUCUACACAUUUGAUUUAAGAAAUUGAGUGCAUGUCUACAGAAAUGGUUCAUGUACAAAGUAUUCUACAAUUCCUACUUUGUUAUGUAUUCAUCAUGAAAUGUAAAUUCUACAGCUUUGGGGAAAAAAGGAAAUAAAAUUUUAAAAUUCGGCAACAAUUAUAUGCAACUUUUAUAUUUCAGUUUUAAACCAAUCAUCCAGUAUGUUGAUGAUCAGUUUGAGAGGUAUCUACAGGAUGAGAGUGGACUUAACAGACGACACAUCAUUGAUAAUAGGGUCCAUUGUUGUUUCUACUUUAUAAACCCCUCAGGUCAUGGGUGAGUAAUUUAGAUGUAUCAUUGGAUAAGCCAGGGUUAAAUUUAGGCAUCAGUUGUUUACCAAUGUUCAAAUAUCACAAAUCUAUUAAGGAGACAAGAUAAUGGGCAAAAACUGAGGGGGUAGCAUGGAAAAAAAAAGUCUGGGUGCAUUGACAGGAUAAACUAGAUGCUUCAAAUGUAAUUUAUCAUCUGCAUUAAAACAAAGAAAAAAAAACCAGCAUCAAUAUCCUUGAAAGGAAAAUGUGAUAGAAAACAGAUAUGGGGUAUCGAUCCAUGCCACAAAAUCAGUUCAUGCACAGAAAAAAAUAAAAAAAUAAACAUACAAAAGCAAAGGAUCAGCAAUUUUAUUGCUUUUCUUAAUCUCAAAGUUACAGUGAGGCUUUCAACAUAGAGCAAAAAACUCCUACCUCACUGCAAGUUUAAGACUGGCCCUAGAACCGGCUUAAGCAGAAUUCUUUGCACAAAUAAUUUGGAUGAUUAUAUAUAUUCUGUGUUAUUUGUGCAUGGACAUCUGAAUGGGGAAAUUUAAUAUCUUACCCAACUGUUCCUGAAAUUACAACAUUACUCAAGAAUAUAAAUAACUCUAAUUUUAUAAUGCAGUUUUGCAAUUUACCUUUCUGUCAAUAAUUUAUACAUACAUCAUGGUAUGAUGAUAAAUGAAAAAUCAGGAAAUCAGAUUGGUAAAUCAAAGGAAUAAAAAAUAAGAUAAAUUGAUACAUUUAUAGAGUGAUAGGUAAUGCUAUUAUGAUGAAUUGAUUAGAUAAAGUAUACGAAAGGUAGAUAAACAAGACAAGAUAAGAUGGUUCCCUACAUGUAAAAUCUAAAAUCUAUAUUAGAACAAGCUUUGUUACAAAGCAAGCAGAGUUAUUUCCCAUUUAUUAAAAAAAUUAAAGAAAAACCUUUAGGAGAAAAUGAGUUGCUUCCCUUUCUUUUACAAUGAUUUUUUUCCUGUAUAAAAUGAUACUUUUAUUAAUAAUACAUUUUUUUAGUUCUGUUCAUUUAUUAUGCUAAUAUAUUGGAAGAUGUAAACCAAUGAGACAUUCCAAAUAAAAUUUUUAAAUUAUUCAAACUAUUUCAGUGAAUAAUUUGUUUAUGCUGACUGCUUUAUUUCAUUCAUUUCAUUGACGGAAAACUAUGUUAAAAGAUUUGACAAUUUUUCUAAAUUUUCAGGUUACGCCCCCUUGACAUCACAUUCAUGAGAGCAGUCCACCAUAAAGUCAACAUUGUACCAGUAAUAGCUAAAGCUGAUACCCUCACAAACAGGAAGUUCCAAAGA